GAUCUCGUGCCAGAAUUAGAUAAUGGUGCUGUCUGCAAAACAGUAAUAUGUAGGUGCAAAUCCUACCGGGAUCUC
rnacentral:tRNA from 1 species